rnacentral:rRNA from 1 species
UACAGAGGGUGCGAGCGUUAAUCGGAGUGACUGGGCGUAAAGGGCAUGUAGGCGGUUAUAUUAGUUUGAUGUAAAAUACCCGGGCUUAACCCGGGACGUGCAUUAGAAACGGUAUAGCUAGAGUAUGGGAGAGGGAAGUGGAAUUUCCGGUGUAGCGGUGAAAUGCGUAGAGAUCGGAAAGAACACUCGUGGCGAAGGCGGCUUUCUGGCCCAUAACUGACGCUGAGGUGCGAAAGCAUGGGGAGCAAACAGG